UACAGAGGUCUCAAGCGUUGUUCGGAUUCAUUGGGCGUAAAGGGUGCGUAGGCGGCGCGGUAAGUCGGGUGUGAAAUCUCGGAGCUUAACUCCGAAACUGCAUUCGAUACUGCCGUGCUUGAGGACUGGAGAGGAGACUGGAAUUUACGGUGUAGCGGCGAAAUGCGUAGAUAUCAGGAGGAACACCGAUGGCGAAGGCAGGUCUCUGGGCCGAUACUGACGCUGAGGAGCGAAAGCGUGGGGAGCGAACAGG
rnacentral:rRNA from 1 species